rnacentral:rRNA from 1 species
GAUGAACGCUAGCGGCAGGCUUAAUACAUGCAAGUCGAGGGGCAGCAUGACUGUAGCAAUACAGUUGAUGGCGACCGGCAAACGGGUGCGGAACACGUACAGAACCUUCCUUCGAGCGGGGAAUAGCCCAGAGAAAUUUGGAUUAAUACCCCAUAGUAUUACGGAGUGGCAUCACUUUGUAAUCAAAGAUUUAUCACUUGAAGAUGGCUGUGCGGCUGAUUAGGUAGUUGGCGGGGUAACGGCCCACCAAGCCUGCGAUCAGUAACUGGUGUGAGAGCACGACCAGUCACACGGGCACUGAGACACGGGCCCGACUCCUACGGGAGGCAGCAGUAAGGAAUAUUGGUCAAUGGACGAAAGUCUGAACCAGCCAUGCCGCGUGGAGGAUGAAGGUCCUCUGGAUUGUAAACUUCUUUUAUAUGGGACGAAAAAGGGUCUUUCUAGAUCAACUGACGGUACCAUAUGAAUAAGCACCGGCUAACUCCGUGCCAGCCGCCGCAGUAAGAC